rnacentral:rRNA from 1 species
CAGUCGCCGCGGUAAUACGUAGGGUGCAAGCGUUAAUCGGAAUUACUGGGCGUAAAGCGUGCGCAGGCGGUACUAUAAGACAGAUGUGAAAUCCCCGGGCUCAACCUGGGAACUGCAUUUAUGACUGUAGAGCUGGAGUGCGGCAGAGGGGGAUGGAAUUCCGCGUGUAGCAGUGAAAUGCGUAGAUAUGCGGAGGAACACCGAUGGCGAAGGCAAUCCCCUGGGCCUGCACUGACGCUCAUGCACGAAAGCGUGGGGAGCAAACAGGAUUAGAUACCCCUGUAGUCCCUGUCUCUUAUAC